GGUGCCGGGCGCCGUGGGGCUCGCGCGCUGGGCCCGCCGCCGAGGGCCGCGCCGGAGCGGGGGCGGUAGAAGGGCAGGCCAGGGCCGGGCUCCUGCUGGCGGCGGGGCCGAGGCGGAGCGCGCGGCCCGCCAUGGAGGUGGAGGAGGCGUUCCAGGCAGUGGGCGAGAUGGGCAUCUACCAGAUGUACCUGUGCUUCCUGCUGGCGGUGCUGCUGCAGCUCUACGUGGCCACGGAAGCCAUCCUCAUUGCGCUGGUUGGGGCCACGCCGUCCUACCACUGGGACCUGGCAGAGCUCCUGCCCAACCAGAGCCACAGCAACCAGUCGGUCCGGGAAGAGCAGGCACUGGGGGCCUGGCUCCUGACGGCCAACGGCAGCGAGAUCCACAAGCACGUGCACUUCAGCGGCAGCUUCACCUCCAUUGCCUCUGAGUGGUUUUUAAUUGCCAACAGAUCCUACAAAGUCAGUGCAGCAAGCUCCUUUUUCUUCAGCGGUGUGUUCGUGGGAGUUAUCUCUUUUGGGCAGCUCUCAGAUCGCUUCGGAAGGAAAAAAGUCUAUCUCACAGGUUUUGCUCUCGACAUCUUAUUUGCUAUCGCAAAUGGGUUUUCCCCCUCGUAUGAGUUCUUUGCAAUAACUCGCUUCCUGGUGGGCGUGAUGAAUGGAGGGAUGUCCCUGGUGGCCUUCGUCCUGCUGAACGAAUGUGUGGGCACCGCCUACUGGGCACUGGCAGGGUCCAUCGGUGGCCUCUUCUUCGCAGUUGGCAUUGCCCAGUAUGCCCUGUUGGGAUAUUUCAUCCGCUCCUGGAGGACCCUCGCCGUUCUGGUUAACCUGCAGGGAACCGUGGUCUUUCUCUUAUCUUUAUUCAUUCCUGAAUCACCCCGUUGGUUAUACUCCCAGGGUCGACUGCGAGAGGCCGAAGCAGCCCUGUACCUCAUUGCCAGGAGGAACCGCCAGCUCAGGUGCACCUUCUCUCUAACACACCCGGCCAACAGGAGCUGCAAGGAAACCGGAAGUUUCCUGGACCUGUUCCGCUACCGGGUCCUCUUGGGGCACACGCUGACCCUCAUGUUCAUCUGGUUUGUGUGCAGUUUGGUAUAUUAUGGCCUAACUCUGAGCGCAGGAGAUCUAGGUGGAAAUAUUUAUGCCAACUUGGCCCUGUCUGGCCUCAUAGAGAUUCCAUCUUACCCUAUCUGCAUCUACUUGAUUAACCAAAAAUGGUUUGGUCGGAAGCGGACAUUAGCAGCAUUUCUGUGCCUGGGAGGACUGGCUUGUCUUAUUGUCAUGUUUCUUCCAGAAAAAAAAGGUGUGGCACUUGUCCUCCUCAGACACAGGUGUGUUCGCCGUGGUGAACAGCCAUUCCUUGUCCCUGCUGGGGAAGCUGACCAUCAGCGCUGCCUUCAACGUGGUCUAUAUCUACACCUCGGAGCUGUACCCCACUGUCAUCAGGAACGUCGGGCUUGGAACUUGUUCCAUGUUCUCCCGAGUUGGUGGGAUUAUCGCUCCCUUCAUCCCCUCACUGAAGUACGUGCAAUGGUCUUUACCCUUCAUCGUCUUUGGCGCCACGGGGCUGACUUCAGGCCUCCUGAGUUUAUUAUUACCCGAAACCCUUAACAGUCCGUUGCUGGAGACGUUUUCUGACCUUCAGGUGUAUUCCUAUCGGAGGCUGGGGGAGGAGGCGUUAUCUUUGCAGACCUUGGAUCCCCCUCAGUCUGCGGGCAAGGACAGCCCUUUAGGGAGCGAGAGUGAGGAAGAAGAAGAGUUUUACGACGCAGAUGAAGAGACUCAGAUGAUCAAGUGAAAAGCCCCAGACUCCCUCUCGGAAGCAGAGGACCAGCGCCCCCGGUGAGAACCCCUUCUCCCAGGAGCCUGGAGGGGGCUGUGGAAAGAUUGGCUUGAACAAACGCAGAUGGUGCUCCGCGUGGCCUGAUGUCUUUGAGGCACCGAGGAAGCUGGAGAAGCGAUUUCAUGAACGAGGACAACCCUGCCUCCAGUGAAGAGCUGUUCCUUUGCCCCCAGUUCUGCUUUAGCUCAGAGUCAUGACCGCUGGCCAGACGACUGUCAUCCACAUGCCAGGGUCAGUAAGCUAAUGUGUUUCCAGAAGUUGGAUUGGUUUUCAGUUUCAUCGUGACCUGAAGGCAAAUAUGUAAAACAUCUUCUCACCAUGAAGAUGUAACCUGUGUACCAUAUCUGACGUCCGCCCCUCUCAGUUGCUCCUCACCAGGAAUCCUUGGAGGCAAGUUGGUGUUCACGUUUCAUUUUUGUGCCGGAGGAGAAGCUCAGAGAGGUCAUUUGCGUGGCCCGUGGGUUUCCAGCGUCUCCCUAACUGAUGGGAUUGGGGCCCUCAACACAAAGGCUUGAUCGCCUUGUGCUUUGGGUCCCCCCCAGGGGACCUGCUAGGAAAAGCCACCUGUUCCAAAGUGAUGUUCUCAGAGCCCAAAGCGUGGCUGCAUCUCCCUGUGUGAUUUUGUCACGUCCCACCUGUGUGCGCGCCUCUAGAAAAAGUUCCAUCUCAGACUCUAGCACCAGCAAUAACUUCCAAACUAUGCCCGGUGAAUGAUCAAGCUUUAUAAGGGGGGUGGGCUGUUAAAAAGUGGCUUGUUGAGCACACUUCCAUGUUAAAAAAGGGGAAAAAUGUGCUGUUUUUAAUAAGGAAGAAAAGGAAUUACUUUCCCAGUUUUCUGUUUUGUUGUCGGUGUGGUGCAGGAAGCAACUUGAGCAGCAUUUCAGAACUUUUCUAGUCCUAGAUCGGCCCCCGGCCUGUUUAGUUAGCUUGAAUGGAAGGCACAGUGACGUCAUAGGAAAUACUAGUUUUCAUUAAGACUUACCAGCCUUCAAAUAAAUGGAAAUCAUACUCAGUUUCCUAAAAUCAUGUGCUGAAAAUGUUUCCUUGCGAAGCCCGAGGAUUGUCUCAAAUAGGCGUGUUAACCUGGAGUGAACAAGUUUGGACAUUAUUCCUUGCGGUCCUUUUUCCAACUGAGAAAAUUUCUGUUUUCAGAAUUUGCUUUCUACUAAUCUCUUGGAGAAAGAAAUUUCAUUAGCGAUAAAGAGAUGUCAGUACUGUGUCUGCUUCUGGAAAUCUUAGAGGCCUCACUCUGAAUAGGCUCCAACACCCACCUGACCUCUUCCAUUGACCUCUUGGUUUGCACCAUAUCAGCCUCUAUCUUUGUUUUUGUUCAUAUAUAUAUAUAUUUUUUUCUUUUUUCUGGCUGCACCUGUCACAUGCAGACGUACCUGGGCCAGGGAUCGAAGCUGCACCAUGGCAGUGACCCAAGCCACAGCAGUGACAAUGCCACAUCCUUAACCCACUGAGUUACCAGGGAGCUCCUGUCACAGUACUUUUAUGUCCUUCAUGACCAUGAUUUGGUAUUGGGCUCUUUAGAAAUAGGAGCCAGAGUUCCCAUCAUGGUGCCGCAGAAACGAAUCUGACUCGGAACCAUGAGGUGGCAGGUUUGAUCCCUGGCCUCGCUCAGUGGGUUGAGAUUCCGGCAUUGCCAUGAGCUGUGGUGUAGGUCGAAAACGCAGCUUGGAUCUGGUGCAGCUGUGGCAUAGGCUGGCAGCUGUGGCUCCAAUUCGACCCCUAGUCUGGGAACCUCCAUGUGCCAUGGGUGUGGCCCUAAAAAGACAAAAAGACAAAAAAGACCAAAAAAAAAAAAAAAAAAGAUAUAGGGGCCAUCUCUACCGCUGUUUAUUUAUCUCAUGCCCAGAGCAUGUGUCUAGUCGUAGUCCAGACCUACUAAGAAUUACUCUUUCUGGCUGUCAGAGAAAUUGUAAAUCCCAGGCAAAGCUGACCCAACCCCCCAAAUUGUGGAAUCUUGCUGUCUUUUCUCUGGAAAAUGGAGACCCUGUCCACCAUCAAGAGAGAAAGAAAUGAAGAAUUUACAAGGACACUAAGACGCUACAAGGACACUAAGACGCUCUUCUGUGUUCAUGGAGUUAAACAUAAAGCAACAAACUAACGUAUUGAUGAUUGUUGGUUGGUUGGUUGGAGCUGCCUUUGCAUUUUAAGAGUAUUAUUUCCCAUUGUAAAAAAAUGUGAAAACUAAAAGUUAAAAAAUAGCAUUCUUGCAGGUCCAACACCCAGGGGCGACCAGUGUUGUAGCUUUGUUCCAUCUAAGGACCAAUAGGGUAUCCAUCUCUCACGGCACUGGGGUUCCCUCUGCCUCUGGCUGGAUAAAUGAGGUUUCCAUUAAUUCUGACCCUGGGUUUUCUCUUUUCUAGCUUUAGGGUGGGGGAAGAGGGUGAAGGAUACACAGGUUGAACAUAUGUUGCCAAGGCUGCACUGACGGUCAGUUGCUCAUGUCAGAUGCCUCAAUAAAUUUUGUUUUCUUUCUAGGUGAUCUUUUGCAAAGUUUAAUAGUUACUGUUUUUGUUCAUCCCUCGCCUUUUAUAAAAACAUCUUUUCCUUUUGUUCUUAACUGUUGAAGAAUAUUAACUGUAGAGAAUAUGCAUGAGUAUCUUUGUGUUGAUUAAAUUACUGGAAAACUCUUAUUUGAUAGGUAACACGUUUUGUUUGUGCAAAUGACUUAUAAAAGUUAUCCAUUUAAACUUUUUAUUAGAUUCAGAAUUGAAUUUCUUUUCUCCUAAAAAGCAGCAAGAAAAGCGUCAGAAAUCCAAGAGUUUUCAGGGUCAAAGUUCUUUUCAACAGCUUACCAAGAACCUUGACACUACACGGAUGGAUUGAAAGAAAUUGUGUUGUUUCCUGAUUUGGUGAGUUAAAACCAUUGCUCAUUGAAAAUGCACUAUUUGUCAUUUGGCUGAUUUCAAGCAAUGUAGAUAUUCUUUAGUAUUUAAAAAUGAACAAAUAAAUAAAA